rnacentral:rRNA from 1 species
GACGAGGGGUCCAAGCGUUGUUCGGAAUCAUUGGGCGUAAAGCGGGUGUAGGCGGCUCUAUAAGUCAGAAGUGAAAAGCCCCGGGCUUAACCUGGGAAGUGCUUUUGAUACUGCAGACGCUUGAAUGUGGGAGAGGGUAGUGGAAUUCCAGGUGUAGUGGUGAAAUACGUAGAUAUCUGGAGGAACACCGGUGGCGAAGGCGGCUACCUGGCCCAACAUUGACGCUGAGACCCGAAAGCAUGGGGAUCAAACAGG